rnacentral:tRNA from 1 species
GGAGGUGUAGCUCAGUAGUAGAGCACUUGCCUAGCCCACGCAGGGUCUUGGGUUUGAGCCCCGGCACCACCA